GGAAGUGCUGCAGCUCAGUGGCAGAGCAUCUGCUUUUCAUGCAGAUGGUCCCAGGUUCAACUCCUGGCAUCUCCA